AUACGAAGGGUGCAAGCGUUGUUCGGAUUUACUGGGCGUAAAGCGCGCGCAGGCGGAUUGUUAAGCCAGAUGUGAAAUCUCGGGGCCCAACCCCGAAACUGCGUCUGGAACUGAUAAUCUAGAAUCUUGGAGAGGGAAAUGGAAUUUCGCAUGUAGGGGUAAAAUCCGUAGAGAUGCGAAGGAACACCAGAGGCGAAGGCGGUUUCCUGGCCAAGUAUUGACGCUGAGGCGCGAAAGCGUGGGGAGCAAACAGGAUUAGAUACCCUGGUAGUCCACGCCGUAAACGAUGAGCACUAGAUAUAGGGUUGUUGACCGACUCUGUGUCAAAGCUAACGCAUUAAGUGCUCCGCCUGGGGAGUACGGUCGCAAGACUAAA
rnacentral:rRNA from 1 species